AAAACCUUUAAUUAAGUCCAGAGAGACUUACAAGGCUUUUAGAUACUUGGGUCAAAGUCCAUUCUUUGACCGUAAUUUUCUAGAACCGCGUAAGUCAAAAGGCUUAUGCGGUUUUUUGU
rfam:Leuconostoc gelidum JB7, complete genome.